CGAGGCAGAAGAUGACAUGGGGAGAAUAGCCCUCACCUUCAUCCUUCUCUUCAUCAUCACUCUGAUGUUCACCAUUGCAACCACAGCUUUCAAGGUUAAAUGAAACAAGGAAAACUUUCUGUACAAAACUGUUUUUCACACACUUUUCUUAUAAACUCAUAGUUUGAUGUAAGUAAUCACAGCUGUCCUUUUUUCCAUUCUUAUUACAAGAGCUUUAUGUAAUUUUAAAAAUAAAUGUUUAAAUGAACAUAACCAUUAAUGUUGCUCCUCCAUCUUUGUUCUCUCAUCUGUUAUUCUGAAACUGUUCAUACUGUCUAUAGUUUCACCUGUAAAUGUUUAAUACAUAAUACUCAUAAGAAUACCAUUUCUUAUUUUUAUUUUAACUAUGUAAUAUGUUGUUGUGUUCAUCACCUCCCCAGCACCUGGAAUCAACAGCCCGUGUUCUACUCAAUAUGUAAAUGUGGAGAUUUUACAAUCGCUUUAGCAAAGUCAUGAGAAGCCAUGUAAAAUCGUUGUGAUAACUGAUCUGAGAUAUUUAAAUGUGCACUCUGUUUCUCUUACUGGCAUAAGCGCACCUCACACCUGGUGUCUGCAAUGCACCGUUGCUCUUGGCUCUGUUUCACUUCUGCAUUUUGGUACUUUUUUGGGAUCUGGGUGUUACUCAAUGCUUCCGCUUGCUGCUAGCUGUGAUCACUCUGCCCUGUCAUUCUGCGGCAUCUGUGCAACAGACUUCCAGCCCCAUCGCCUCCAUCUCCACCUGACUUUAUAACACCAGACACUGUAAAAGUACAACUCUGCCAUCUAGCCGAAAUACAGAGACAUUACACUUAGAAUUGUUUACAAAAUCUGAAGGUAUGUAUAGGUGAAGAGAUAAAUUGAGCUCAAAUUUUCAAAAUAUUCCAUGUUCAGCUUUUAGAAUGAGGCAAGUAAAGUAAAAAUAAUCUCUUCUCCGUCUCAGGACUGCGGGUUGUCUCUCCAAACAUCACAUUACACCCUGUGUGGGAAGGUGUAAUCGGGGCCUCACCUGUCAGACUCCUCUGCACCCUAAGUGGCUUCUUUCCAGACCAACUGAGUGUGAUGUGGCAACGGGACAACCAAUCUCUAAACAUUGUGCAAACCCAAAGGAAGCUGCAGAGUGUGAAGGGAGUGGAGAAAACCUUCAGUCUAAGCAGUGAGAUUGAGCCAAAUAUGAAACAGUGGACAGGUGGCUCAAAUUUUACAUGCUGGUCCACUCACAACGGCAGUGAAUUUCAUAAAACAAUAAGUAUUUGUCAAACACAGACAAGCGCCCCUCCUUCAGUUCAUGUGGAGAUUCCCAGCUUCAAGACAGUAAUGGAGUCAACGUCUGAUGUGACGGCAACAUGUUCAGUCCGCACAGUGUUUGAUGCCAACGUGACCUGGCUGAUGGAUGGGCAACCCCCAUCCAGUAACCAAGUGAACCAGGUCACAAAUACAACUCAUUUAAUAAGCACUCUGAAGGUUUCCUCGAGUCGGUGGAAACAACUGAAGCUUCUGAAAUGUAAAGUUGAACAUCGCUGCUUCUCAUCCACUGAGGAGACAAUAAAUGUUGCAGCGCCUGCAGUUACAGCUCCAUCAGUGGAGAUCAGGACUCUCCCAGAUUUGCUGAAGGGAAACAGUUCUGUGCUGGAGUGUGACGUCACACAACUCUCCUCCAGUGACCUCUACAUCACCUUUCAGGCCAACAGUGUUGACAUCUCUGACAAACAGUAUGUUGAUCUUCCUGAAGCCCCAGGCCUCCAUUCAGUCAGUAGACGCUUCACUGUCCCUCCAAACUACUGGAAGAGAGAAACAAGUUUCACCUGCAAAGUGAAUCAAGGUUUCUCCAGCAGCUUCAAGUCAAACCCCACUGGCAAUAUUUUUGUGGACCCAUCAGUGGAGCUCCUUCAGGUCCCCAGUAAAGAGUCAGGACCACAGAGGAUCUUGUGCUCUGGAUGGGGCUUCAACCCUCAAAUUAAAUGGUUUCCUGAGUCUCAGCAAGCAUCUCCAUCAACGAAUGACAUCAGCAUGAGUGCAGAUGGACGUGUGGCAGUAACCAGUCAACUUCACAUCCCUCAGACAGAGUGGAAAACAGGGAAGGUCU